rnacentral:rRNA from 1 species
AAAGUCCGACGGUACAGGGUGAUAGUCCCGUACACCAAAAUGCACAGGCUGUGAACUCGAAGAGUAGGGCGGGACACGUGGUAUCCUGUCUGAAUAUGGGGGGACCAUCCUCCAAGGCUAAAAUACUCCUGACUGACCGAUAGUGAACCAGUACCGUGAGGGAAAGGCGAAAAGAACCCCGGCGAGGGGAGUGAAAAAGAACCUGAAACCGUGUACGUACAAGCAGUGGGAGCACCUUCGGGUGUGACUGCGUACCUUUGUAUAAUGGGUCAGCGACUUAUAUUCUGUAGCAAGGUUAACCGUAUAGGGGAGCCGCAGGGAAACCGAGUCUUAACUGGGCGUUAAGUUGCAGG